AUUGCACUUCCAUAGUGUAUACAUAUCAAUGGACCUCAAUGGGUUAAAGCAGCUUGACUGUCUGAUAGGAUAUAAAUAUGCUUAUUGACAUAAUUCUAUCAAGAUUGAUUUGAACAUGUGCAGAAAUAUCAUUGAUUUCUACAUGAAAGACAAUGGCAAAUCAUCAAAGAGAAUAAGAAUAUGGCAUUUUAUUUCUCAUAGCAAACCUUUGCCCUUACAUCAUAAUGGUUCUGGGAUCAGCUGUAUAUAGACCAGUCUAAACUUUGAUACUGUGCUCAAAUCCAUCUCCCCAUCCCUCCAUGCUAAGAAAAAAAUCAUGAAUGAUCUGAAAAAGCUAAAUCUGGACACCAUGUAAUACUGAAUCAUCUCAAAAAUAUGACUGUGUGUCUUGUUCUAUUUAAAAGAGGAGUGCUCCAUUUUGUGAAACCAAGAAAUCUUUCUCCUACAAGAAUGAGCUAUAUAGCCCUUCGGGCACUAGUUUCAAUAUACAAAUGCAAAGGGGAAAUCCACAACAGGAUUCCAAGAGAAGCAGUAGGAGCAAGCCUUAUAAUUCUUGUGAUGCUCAGACAGGAUAUCCUUUUGAAUCUUUUAAAGUUCAGACCUUCCAAGUUUUUAAUAAAACUCUUUGCCACUAAAUAAUAGUAAAAUAGAUAAUAAUGUAUCUCAUAACCAUGACAUAUAUCUAAUAUAACAACCCUGGUUUGUCCCCAUGUCUUACCAAAUGCCCUGACAUCUUACUGUACACGAUCAUAGGAUUUUAUAGACCUUCACAAUAAUAAAGCCUGUAUGUGGUUCCCAAGUCAAUCUCUUUUCUAACAUAACAUCAAGGUAUUUGA
rnacentral:lncRNA from 1 species